GCCAGGUGUGGUGGUGCGCGCCUGUAAUCCUAGCUACUCGGAAGGCUGAGGCAGGAGAAUCACUUGAACCCAGGAGGGAGAGGCUGCAGUGAGCCGAGAUGAUGCCACUGCACUCCAGCCUGGGCAACAGAGUGAGACCCUGUCUCAA
ensembl:misc_RNA Metazoa_SRP Metazoan signal recognition particle RNA